rnacentral:rRNA from 1 species
UACGUAGGUGGCGAGCGUUGUCCGGAUUUACUGGGCGUAAAGGGAGCGUAGGCGGACUUUUAAGUGAGAUGUGAAAUACCCGGGCUCAACUUGGGUGCUGCAUUUCAAACUGGAAGUCUAGAGUGCAGGAGAGGAGAAUGGAAUUCCUAGUGUAGCGGUGAAAUGCGUAGAGAUUAGGAAGAACACCAGUGGCGAAGGCGAUUCUCUGGACUGUAACUGACGCUGAGGAGCGAAAGCGUGGGGAGCAAACAGG